ACAAGUCAGAUGCUCAUGGUUGGCCGUGAUGAUGCAAAAAAAUGCCAAAUUGGUUUCUUGGGCGUGGCAUUCGUUAGGGCAAUGUGAAUGUGAUUCCUGAUUUCACAUACCAAAUGGUAUUAAAUAGUAUUGUCUGCAACCACAAGGAUUUAGCAAUUCUAAGCCUCCAAGACAACGAUUUGGUUUUUAAUUUUCAUAUUAAUCAAUAUCAAUCGUUCCAUGAAAUUGUGAAAAUUUUACACGAUAAAGAUGAUGAUUUUUUGUUUGUCAAUUUUGAUGCGAUAUAGUAAAAUUUUACAAUUAUUGAAAUACAUAUUUUCUUAUGGGUGAGAUCGCUCUUAUCAAUGUUGCAAGGCAAGGGCAUAUCUCCAAUGCUAAUACCUCAUUGAACAUGUACUGAAACUGAUGAUGGUAUUACUUCUUUGUUCUUAGCUGUAGUUGCAGGCUCACUCCAAUGGUUGGAGCUAUUAACAUAGGAAGGUGCAAAAGUUCAAUCACGGGGACUAAUACAACCAAGCUUUAGGCCGGUCAAUUGUUUGUAUCUUUAGCUCUUGCUUUUAUAUGUCUAUUUUUAUUAUGAAUUCAGAUAUAUAACCAAAAAGGAGAGUAAAGUGAUUCAAAAUAUAAGUUUUAAUAGAUUUUCAUUUACUCAAUGUUGAUUUUGCAUCUCCUACGACUUGAUCCUAAAGAAACGUUACAUCUUUUGCACGUUUCGUUUAAGACCAAACACUAUCGGGUAAUGUUUUGUUUAUUGCUUUUUGUACAUAGGGUUUUCCGCCGCAACGCGCGGACGGGUAAAAACCUAGUUUAUAUUAUAUAA